AUGCACAACAUCUCACCUGCAACACAUGUCGGUGACUCCCACGCGGUCGACCGGACAGCAGAUUCAAGCCCUCUGAAUACUGCACCAAUCCGCAACUUCAAACUGCCGGGUGAAGCCUCCGUAUUGACGUCGUCAUCCUGCUCCCACGUCAACCUCCUCAGCCCAAGAUCUGCAAUUCCUCUUUCUGCUCCACCACCAGUUCUCUAG